GAUGAACGCUGGCGGCGUGCCUAAUACAUGCAAGUCGAGCGAACGGACGAUAAGCUUGCGUCUCUGAUGUUAGCGGCGGACGGGUGAGUAACACGUGGAUAACCUACCUGUAUGACUGGGAUAACUUCGGGAAACCGGAGCUAAUACCGUAUAAUAUUCUGAGCCGCAUGGUUCAAAAGUGAAAGUCGGUCUUGGCGGCGGUUGUAGAUGGAUCCGCGCUGCAUUAGCUAGUUGGUAAGGUAACGGCUUACCAAGGCAACGACGGGUAGCCGGCCUGAGAGGGGGACCGGCCACAUGGGGACUGAGAGACGGCCCAGACUCAGACGGGAGGCAGGAGUGGGGAAUAUUGAACAAUGGGCGGAAGCAUGAUGCAGCAACGCCGCGUGCGGGAUGACGGCCUUCGGGGUGGAAACCGCUUUCGCCUGUGACGAAGCGGGAGUGACGGUAAUUGGUAAAGAGGCACCGGCUAACUACGUG
rnacentral:rRNA from 1 species